GUUCUAUUUUGUUGGUUUUCGAACCGGAGAUAAUGAUUGAAAGGAACAGACGGGGGCAUUCGUAUUGCUGCGUUAGAGGUGAAAUUCUUGGAUCGCAGCAAGAUGAACAAUUGCGAAAGCAUUUGCCAAGAAUGUUUUCAUUAAUCAAGAACGAAAGUUAGAGGUUCGAAGGCGAUCAGAUACCGCCCUAGUUCUAACGGUAAACUAUGCCAACCAGCGAUUCGCCGAAGUUCAUUUAAGACUCGGCGAGCAGCUUCCGGGAAACCAAAGUGUUUCGGUUCCGGGGGAAGUAUGGUUGCAAAGCUGAAACUUAAAGGAAUUGACGGAAGGGCACCACCAGGAGUGGAGCCUGCGGCUUAAUUUGACGCAACACGGGAAAACUCACCCGGCCCGGACACUGGAAGGAUUGACAGAUUGACAGCUCUUUCUUGAUUCAGUGGGUAGUGGUGCAUGGCCGUUCUUAGUUGGUGGAGCGAUUUGUCUGGUUAAUUCCGAUAACGAACGAGACUCUACCCUAUUAAAUAGUGACAGUAUUGUAUUUUUUGUGCUGAUCACUUCUUAGAGGGACUGGCAAAUUGAAAGCUGCACGAAAAAGAGCAAUAACAGGUCUGUGAUGCCCUUCGAUGUCCGGGGCUGCACGCGCGCUACAAUGAAAGCGUCAACGUGAGUUACGUCCUUACCUGAAAAGGUUUGGCAAUCGAAUGAAACGUUUUCUUGAAUGGAAUAGGGAAUUGCAAUUGUUUCCCUUGAACGAGGAAUUCCCAGUAAGCGUGAGUCAUUAGCUCGCGUUGAUUACGUCCCUGCCCUUUGUACACACCGCCCGUCGCUACUACCGAUUGGAUGAUUUAGUGAGGUGUUUUGACUGGCGCCAGUAGUCGGAUGUAUUCGGCUUCGCGCCGGGAAAUUUCCCAAACCAAAUCAUCUAGAGGAAGUAAAAGUCGUAACAAGGUUUCCGUAGGUGAACCUGCGGAAG
rnacentral:rRNA from 1 species